UGCGUACAGGAGAUGCAGUUGCCUAGCAACCACCUCGCUGCUUGCCCACCCCCAGUGCAGCCUACCCAGCGCUGAUGCUACAAGGAUUUGACACCAGAGACGACAAAAGAACUUUUGAAACACCAUCUUCGGGCACAUGUGUCAUCUGUCAAUGUUUUUGUGUGUACAAUAUUUUUUUUUCCUGCUGAAGAUUGAGUCCAGGUUUUUGGCAUGUGCUAGGUAAAGAGUGUGCCAUUGAAAUCAUUGCGCUAAAUACCCAGCCCCAGAGUGGUUUCUUCUGGUACUGCCACACUUUAUCCUCUACAGAUUCACAGAGAAGGCAAAUACCCAACGGUAGCAAUUGACAAAGACAAAUAUUUUGCAGUUUUCUCAAACCACUAGAGAAUUGCGAUGCCGACAUUAUAUUUAAUCCAGGUAGCUUUUGCAGAUAUCAAACUGAAGAAUAAAUUUCAAAACUGAG